UGGGGAAUCUUGCACAAUGGGGGAAACCCUGAUGCAGCGACGCCGCGUGAGCGAUGAAGCCCUUCGGGGUGUAAAGCUCUUUCGACCCGGAAGAUAAUGACGGUACGGGAAGAAGAAGCUGCGGCUAACCACGUGCCAGCAGCCGCGGUAAUACGUAGGCAGCGAGCGUUGUUCGGAGUUACUGGGCGUAAAGCGUGCGUAGGCGGUGGUGCAAGUCUGUUGUGAAAUCUCCCGGCUCAACCGGGAGGGUGCGGCGGAAACUGUGCUGCUGGAGUACGGGAGAGGCAGGCGGAAUUCCUGGUGUAGCGGUGAAAUGCGUAGAUAUCAGGAGGAACACCCGUGGUGUAGACGGCCUGCUGGACCGUGACUGACGCUGAGGCACGAAAGCGUGGGGAGCAAACAGGAUUAGAUACCCUGGUAGUCCACGCCCUAAACGAUGCACACUUGGUGUGGGCAGUUCAGUCUGUCCGUGCCGAAGCUAACGCG
rnacentral:rRNA from 1 species